AACCCUGUGGCUCAGUUGGUAGAGCAUGGGGUUUGCAACGCCAGCAUGGUGUGUGCAACGCCAGGGUUG
rnacentral:tRNA from 1 species